UCACUUUCAACAACGGAUCUCUUGGCUCUCGCAUCGAUGAAGAACGUAGUGAAGUGCGAUAAGUAAUGUGAAUUGCAAAUUCCGUGAAUCAUCGAAUCUUUGAACGCAAAUUGCACUCUUUUCGGAGAGUAUGCCUGUUUGAGGGUCAGU
rnacentral:rRNA from 1 species